GAUGAACGCUGGCGGCGUGCCUAAUACAUGCCAGUCGAGCGAACGGACGAGAAGCUUGCUUCUCUGAUGUUAGCGGCGGACAGGUGAGUAACACGUGGAUAACCUACCUAUAAGACUGGGAUAACUUCGGGAAACCGGAGCUAAUACCGGAUAAUAUUUUGAACCGCAUGGUUCAAAAGUGAAAGACGGUCUUGCUGUCACUUAUAGAUGGAUCCGCGCUGCAUUAGCUAGUUGGUAAGGUAACGGCUUACCAAGGCAACGAUGCAUAGCCGACCUGAGAGGGUGAUCGGCCACACUGGAACUGAGACACGGUCCAGACUCCUACGGGAGGCAGCAGUAGGGAAUCUUCCGCAAUGGGCGAAAGCCUGACGGAGCAACGCCGCGUGAGUGAUGAAGGUCUUCGGAUCGUAAAACUCUGUUAUUAGGGAAGAACAUAUGUGUAAGUAACUGUGCACAUCUUGACGGUACCUAAUCAGAAAGCCACGGCUAACUACGUG
rnacentral:rRNA from 1 species